AGGAGUUAGCCAGCUACAGGGUCUCAGGGUUUGGUCAAGGGAGAUGGCUGCAAGGGGUGAGCAACUGUGGGUCUGAGUGAAGGCACCAGGGCAGUUCCCAGAGACUAGAGUAAACCCACGUACAGACCAGCUGGCCCUCCAUGCUCCGAGGUGUCCUGUGGUUGGAUUAGGGGUCAAAGCACAUGAGCAGUGCACGGAGGGGAGGCAGCAAGCUUCCACAGUAAGCGGGUGUGCAUCUGCACUUGAACACCCAGACCCAGCAGCCGCGCUGCCCCAGACACACAGAAGCCCAGAGCUCACCCUGCCUUCCAACUUCCUCUGGGGAUGACGAGCAGAUGGAAGCCAUUGAGGUGAGGACCCAGCCUCUUCUGGGAGCCUGGGAACCCCACGGACCAACAUCAGCAGGGGAGGACUCCACCGGGCAACGAUGUGGCC